GUGCCAGCCGCCGCGGUAAUACGGAGGUGGCAAGCGUUGUUCGGAAUUACUGGGCGUAAAGGGCGCGUAGGCGGCUUGGCAAGUCAGAUGUGAAAGCCCCGGGCUUAACUCGGGAAUUGCAUCUGAAACUGCUUUGCUUGAGUCCUGGAGGGGGUAGUGGAAUUCCCAGUGUAGCGGUGAAAUGCGUAGAUAUUGGGAGGAACACCUGCGGCGAAGGCGGCUACCUGGACAGUGACUGACGCUGAUGCGCGAAAGCUAGGGGAGCAAACGGGAUUAGAUACCCCGGUAGUCCUAGCCGUAAACGAUGGGCACUUGGUGUCGGGGGUAUUGAGUCCCUUGGUGCCGGAGUUAACACGUUAAGUGCCCCGCCUGGGGAGUACGGUCGCAAGACUGAAACUCAAAGGAAUUGACGGGGGCCCGCACAAGCGGUGGAGCAUGUGGUUCAAUUCGACGCAACGCGAAGAACCUUACCGGGGCUCGAACGGUAGCUGCAAUCCCUCGAAAGGGGGCGUUCUCUUACGAGACGGUUACCGAGGUGCUGCAUGGCUGUCGUCAGCUCGUGUCGUGAGAUGUUGGGUUAAGUCCCGCAACGAGCGCAACCCUUGCCCUUAGUUGCUAACAGGUCAAGCUGAGCACCCUAAGGGGACUGUCGGCGAAAAGCCGGAGGAAGGUGGGGAUGACGUCAAGUCCUCAUGGCCCUUACGUCCCGGGCCACACACGUGCUACAAUGGUCGGUACAAAGGGUUGCCAACCCGCGAGGGGGAGCUAAUCCCAAAAAGCCGACCUCAGUUCGGAUUGCAGUCUGCAACUCGACUGCAUGAAGUCGGAAUCGCUAGUAAUCGCAGAUCAGCACGCUGCGGUGAAUACGUUCCCGGGCCUUGUACACACCGCCCGUCACAUCACGAAAGUGGGUUGUACUAGAAAUCGCUGGGCUGACCCGCGAGGGGGGCAGGCGCUUAAGGUAUGAUCCAUGAUUGGGGUGAAGUCGUAACAAGGUAGCC
rnacentral:rRNA from 1 species